rnacentral:rRNA from 1 species
UAACGCGUGAGUAACCUGCCCUAGAGUGGGGGACAACAGUUGGAAACGACUGCUAAUACCGCAUAAGCCCACGGUACCGCAUGGUACUGAGGGAAAAGGAUUUAUUCGCUUUAGGAUGGACUCGCGUCCAAUUAGCUAGUUGGUGAGGUAACGGCCCACCAAGGCGACGAUUGGUAGCCGGACUGAGAGGUUGAACGGCCACAUUGGGACUGAGACACGGCCCAGACUCCUACGGGAGGCAGCAGUGGGGGAUAUUGCACAAUGGGGGAAACCCUGAUGCAGCGACGCCGCGUGGAGGAAGAAGGUUUUCGGAUUGUAAACUCCUGUCGUUAGGGACGAUAAUGACGGUACCUAACAAGAAAGCACCGGCUAACUACGUGCCAGCAGCCGCGGUAAAACGUAGGGUGCAAGCGUUGUCCGGAAUUACUGGGUGUAAAGGGAGCGCAGGCGGGAAGACAAGUUGGAAGUGAAAACCAUGGGCUCAACCCAUGAAUUGCUUUCAAAACUGUUUUUCUUGAGUAGUGCAGAGGUAGAUGGAAUUCCCGGUGUAGCGGUGGAAUGCGUAGAUAUCGGGAGGAACACCAGUGGCGAAGGCGGUCUACUGGGCACCAACUGACGCUGAGGCUCGAAAGCAUGGGUAGCAACAGGAUUAGAUACCCUGGUAGUCCAUGCCGUAAACGAUGAUUACUAGGUGU